rnacentral:rRNA from 1 species
UACGAAGGGGGCUAGCGUUGCUCGGAAUUACUGGGCGUAAAGGGCUCGUAGGCGGCCAUCUAAGUCAGACGUGAAAUCCCUCGGCUUAACCGGGGAACUGCGUCUGAUACUGGAUGGCUUGAGUUUGGGAGAGGGAUGCGGAAUUCCAGGUGUAGCGGUGAAAUGCGUAGAUAUCUGGAGGGACACCGGUGGGGGAGGCGGCAUCCUGGGCCGACACUGGCGCUGAGUGAGCGAAAGCCAGGGGAGCAAACGGG